rnacentral:rRNA from 1 species
AGUGAACGCUGGCGGUAGGCCUAACACAUGCAAGUCGAACGGCAGCACAGUAAGAGCUUGCUCUUACGGGUGGCGAGUGGCGGACGGGUGAGGAAUACAUCGGAAUCUACUUUUUCGUGGGGGAUAACGUAGGGAAACUUACGCUAAUACCGCAUACGACCUACGGGUGAGAGCAGGGGAUCUUCGGACCUUGCGCGAUUGAAUGAGCCGAUGUCGGAUUAGCUAGUUGGCGGGGUAAAGGCUCACCAAGGCGACGAUCCGUAGCUGGUCUGAGAGGAUGAUCAGCCACACUGGAACUGAGACACGGUCCAGACUCCUACGGGAGGCAGCAGUGGGGAAUAUUGGACAAUGGGCGCAAGCCUGAUCCAGCCAUACCGCGUGGGUGAAGAAGGCCUUCGGGUUGUAAAGCCCUUUUGUUGGGAAAGAAAAGCAGCAGGUUAAUACCCCGCUGUUCUGACGGUACCCAAAGAAUAAGCACCGGCUAACUUCGUG